CAAAAGCGUAUAUUAAAGUUGUUGCAGUUAAAAAGCUCGUAGUUGAACCUUGGGCUUGGCUGGCCGGUCCAUCUUUUUUGAUGCGUACUGGACCCAGCCGAGCCUUUCCUUCUGGCUAGCCUUUUGGCGAACCAGGACUUUUACUUUGAAAAAAUUAGAGUGUUUAAAGCAGGCCUUUGCUCGAAUAUAUUAGCAUGGAAUAAUAGAAUAGGACGUUAUGGUUCUAUUUUGUUGGUUUCUAGGACCAUCGUAAUGAUUAAUAGGGACGGUCGGGGGUAUCAGUAUUCAGUUGUCAGAGGUGAAAUUCUUGGAUUUACUGAAGACUAACUACUGCGAAAGCAUUUACCAAGGACGUUUUCAUUAA
rnacentral:rRNA from 1 species